AUUGAACGCUGGCGGUAUGCUUAACACAUGCAAGUCGAACGGUAGCAGCUCUUCGGAGGCUGACGAGUGGCGGACGGGUGAGUAACGCGUAGGAAUCUGCCCUGUUAGUGGGGGGACAACUUAGGGAAACUUAAGCUAAUACCGCAUACGCCCUACGGGGGAAAGCAGGGGACCUUCGGGCCUUGCGCGAUUGGAUAUGCCCAGGUGGGAUUAGCUUGUUGGUGAGGUAAUGGCUCACCAAGGCGACGAUCCGUAACUGGUCUGAGAGGAUGAUCAGUCACACUGGAACUGAGACACGGUCCAGACUCCUACGGGAGGCAGCAGUGGGAAUUUUGGACAAUGGGCGCAAGCCUGAUCCAGCAAUGCCGCGUGCAGGAAGAAGGCCUUCGGGUUGUAAACUGUCUUUUGUACGGAACGAAACGGUCGUGGGCUAAUACCCCGGGCUAAUGACGGUACCGUAAGAAUAAGCACCGGCUAACUACGUG
rnacentral:rRNA from 1 species